rnacentral:rRNA from 1 species
UCGCCUGUUUAACAAAAACAUGUCUUUUUGAAUUUUUUUUAAAGUCUAGCCUGCCCACUGAAUAAUUUUAAAUGGCCGCAGUAUACUAACUGUGCAAAGGUAGCAUAAUCAUUAGUCUUUUAAUUGAAGGCUGGUAUGAAUGGUUGGACGAGAUAUUAACUGUUUCAUAAAAAUUUAUAGUAGAAUUUUAUUUUUUAGUCAAAAAGCUAAAAUGAAAUUAAAAGACGAGAAGACCCUAUAAAUCUUUAUAUAUAGAUUAUUAGAAUUUUGUAGAUUUUUUUUAUUAUAAUAGUUAAUUGUAUUUUAUUGGGGUGAUAUUAAAAUUUAAUUAACUUUUAAUUUUUAAAGUCAUUAAUUUAUGAACAAUUGAUCCGUUAAUAACGAUUAAAAAAAUAAGUUACUUUAGGGAUAACAGCGUAAUUUUUUUGGAGAGUUCAUAUCGAUAAAAAAGAUUGCGACCUCGAUGUUGGAUUAAGAUAUAAUUUUAGGUGUAGCCGCUUAAAUUUUAAGUCUGUUCGACUUUUAAAUUCUUACGUGAUCUGAGUUCAGACCGGA